UUAUCCCUUCAUCACUCUAUUGUUUCUCUUUCUUUCUCGAUACAACCAUUUUUUCCCAUGAACCUUCUUCAUCCCAUCUCUUUCUCUUGUUUUUUCGUUCUCUCUGCAAGUUUAAUCUCUCAAUCGACAUCUGCAAAAAAAAAAAAAAAAACUAUUUUGUUUUAAUUUUCUUCUUCUACAAUGAAUCCAUAUCUAGAAGGUGAAAUCGAUUACUGGAUGCAAAGAUAUGUUGGGGUUCAAUACAGUCAAACAAAUAAUCAAUUUCAAUGGUAGUCUAUGCUGUGAUUGAUAACAUCCUUCUUGCCCUUAAUUGAGGGUUGCGGUUUACUUCAACUGGUUCAUAUUCUGAUUCCUGAUUAUGAUGGUCUGUUGGUGGUGAUUAAGAUGGUCAGUUUGCUAAGAAGAUUUGUCUCACACUGCUUGUCUAUUUUGUGAGUUGAGGCCUUGAAUGAUUACUGAUGGAUUUACUGUUAGUGGUGGAGUGUGCUGGUGGUGUUUGUGAUGUUAAUGGUGCUGUUAUUGUUAGUUCGGAGGUGCAAUUAUUGGUGCUGCUGCUACCUGGAGGUGGUGGUGGUCUCUUAAUAAUUACAUAAAACAUUGAGGGUUAGCAAAUGCAAAAAACAAAAAUUAGUUUAAGCUGGAAAAAAUUCAGGUGUUGUUCUUGCUUCUACUAAGAUUAACUAACAGAAGAACCCUCCAAGAGCGGUGCACAAAACUGCCAUGAAGAAGGAAUUCAGUAGAAUGGCUAAGGCUGUUGCCAACUAGGUAAUACACUUGUUUUUACUUUGUAUAAGGUGUACUCCUGUGUUCGUGUAUCUUUGAUUGUAUCUGUUGAUUUUGUUUAUAAUUGCCAUGUCGUUGUUCUAACUUCUAAGGAGGAGGUUAAGUUCUGUAUUUCAUUGUUUAGGCACUUGGUUUGCUUGUUUGUAUAAUGGGGUUUUACAGGUCCCUUGGCUGACCACGAUAUGAUUCUUUGUGAAGUUAAGUGGAAGGGAUGUAGAAUCCUGUGGCAGACGGUGGUUUAUUAUAUUGUUCAUAGGACGAUUCACUCACUUAGGAGUUAUUGGAUCCAUAGAGUUUGAAUGCUUUUUGAUAGACACUGGCGCAACUUGUAAAACAAUUUGUAUAAUGUUGGAAACCUUCUCGUUUGCUUGAGGAUUUUCAUUAUCCAGACUCCUAAUACCUUCUUACCCUUUAAACUGCCAUUUGAGAAAUCUUAGAGAUGAGAAUCACAAUCUACUCUAGGUAAUUAGUCAUACACGUGUGUGGGUAAAAUACCCGACAGCCACGUGUCGACAUUCCAAGGGGUGAAUAUAUGAUGAGAUGAUGAGGUGAUGAAGCACGAGGUUCUCCACAGAAGGGCAACACGAUCCAAGGGAGAGCGAGAUAACUCGCAGGGAGAACCAAGUAUGCCAUCACGAGGGACGAUAUAAAGCGACUCCGAGGGAUCCAGGACGAAGGAUGACAACUCACCCAACUCGGACGAUCAAGCGACCACGAGUUUAUUCUAUCUAUAAAUAGCAUUCCAUGUACUAGGAGAUGGACAACUUAUAUAAUCAUAGAUGGUUUUUCUACAGAGAAUUCCUGAGAGAGAUUUAGAUAGAGAGAAAUUGAGAAAUCUAGAAGAGAUCUGUAACACUUUCA